rnacentral:misc_RNA from 1 species
GAUGAAGAACGCAGCGAAAUGCGAUAAGUAGUGUGAAUUGCAGAAUUCAGUGAAUCAUCGAAUCUUUGAACGCACAUUGCACCCUUUGGUAUUCCGAAGGGCAUGCCUGUUCGAGCGUCAUUACAACCCUCAAGCUCUGCUUGGUAUUGGGCACCGUCCUUUGCGGGCGCGCCUCAAAGACCUCGGCGGUGGCGUCUUGCCUCAAGCGUAGUAGAACAUACAUCUCGCUUCGGAGCGCAGGGCGUCGCCCGCCGGACGAACCUUCUGAACUUUUCUCAAGGUUGACCUCGGAUCAGGUAGGGAUACCCGCUGAACUUAAGCAUAUCAAUAAGCGGAGGA